rnacentral:rRNA from 1 species
CCUACGGGAGGCAGCAGUGAGGAAUAUUGGUCAAUGGGCGGAAGCCUGAACCAGCCAAGUAGCGUGCAGGAUGAUGGCCCUACGGGUUGUAAACUGCUUUUAUACGGGAAUAACGCGCCUUACGUGUAGGGCUUUGCAUGUACCGUAUGAAUAAGGACCGGCUAAUUCCGUGCCAGCAGCCGCGGUAAUACGGAAGGUCCGGGCGUUAUCCGGAUUUAUUGGGUUUAAAGGGAACGUAGGCCGCAUGUCAAGCGUGCUGGGAAAGGUCCGGGCUCAACCCGGGCCUUGCAGCGCGAACUGGCGUGCUUGAGCCCGCGGAAGGCAGGCGGAAUUCGUCGUGUAGCGGUGAAAUGCUUAGAUAUGACGAAGAACCCCGAUUGCGAAGGCAGCUUGCUGCAGCGGAACUGACGCUGAUGCUCGAAAGCGCGGGUAUCGAACAGGAUUAGAUACCCGGGUAGUC